rnacentral:rRNA from 1 species
AUGUUGCGUAUGAAGUGUGCUCUAAAAGAUAGCGUAUAUGUCACUAUAGAAGAAAAGGUUGCCAUGUUCUUAUUGGUGGUUGGACAUGGUAUCAAAAUGAGAUUGGUGCAUGACACUUACAAGCGUUCUUUAGAGACUAUUAGUAGGCACUUCUCGAAUGUGUUAACAACUACCAUUUCCCUAAGUGGGGAGUUUAUCAAGCUUCCUGAUCAUUCUAUCAAACCUCCGGAUGAUUACAAAUGGAAGUGGUUCGACAAUGCCUUGGGAGCACUGGAUGGGCAUGUUGAUGUUUCUGUCGUUGCGACUGACGAAGCAAGGUAUAGGUACAGGAAGCAAGCUAUCACCACUAACAUGCUAGGUGUUGUUGAAUGGAACAUGAAAUUUCUUUAUGUUCUACCUGGCUAG